rnacentral:rRNA from 1 species
ACGCACGCUGGCGGCGUGCUUAACCCAUGCAAGUCGAACGCUGAAGCUUGGUGCUUGCACUGGGUGGAUGAGUGGCGAACGGGUGAGUAAUACGUGAGUAACCUGCCCUUGACUCUGGGAUAAGCCUGGGAAACUGGGUCUAAUACUGGAUACGACAUGUCACCGCAUGGUGGUGUGUGGAAAGGGUUUUACUGGUUUUGGAUGGGCUCACGGCCUAUCAGCUUGUUGGUGGGGUAAUGGCUCACCAAGGCGACGACGGGUAGCCGGCCUGAGAGGGUGACCGGCCACACUGGGACUGAGACACGGCCCAGACUCCUACGGGAGGCAGCAGUGGGGAAUAUUGCACAAUGGGCGGAAGCCUGAUGCAGCGACGCCGCGUGAGGGAUGACGGCCUUCGGGUUGUAAACCUCUUUCAGCACGGAAGAAGCGAAAGUGACGGUACGUGCAGAAGAAGCGCCGGCUAACUACGUG